CUGGCGGUUGGUGAGUCGUCUUGGAAACCGCGCAGAAGCUCCUAAGCCGGUGUUCGAAACGUACCUGAUAUGUGGGACUCCCUCCUGCUGAGCCUGACCUUGACUUCAGGAUCCUUUCCAGCCAGG
rnacentral:lncRNA from 1 species